AUGAACAAUCUCUCUGGUCCAAUACCUGCUUCUAUAGGAAACUUAAGCAACUUGUCUGGUCUUUAUCUAUGGGAAAACAAUCUUUGUGGAUCUAUCCCUUCUUCUAUAGGAAACUUGAGCAAUUUAGCCAAUUUAGACCUUAGCGAAAACAAACUUUCUGGAUCCAUUUGUCAUGAAAUUGGGAUGCUUGGAUCUCUUAGUUAUCUUGGUUUAAUUCCUACUUCUAUAGGAAACUUAAGCAACCUGAGUGUUUUAUACCUCUACAAUAACACAUUUUCUGGACCUAUACCUGAAGAAAUUGGAAAGUUGGGAUUUCUUAGUGAGCUUUCUUUGUACAUGAACAAUCUCUCUGGUCCAAUUCCUACUUCUAUAGGAAAUUUAAGCAACUUGAGUGUUUUAUACCUCAGCGAUAACGCACUUUCUGGACCUAUACCUGAAGAAAUUGGAAAGUUUGGAUUUCUUAGUGAUCUUAGACUGCACAUGAACAAUCUCACUGGUUCAAUCCCUGCUUCAAUUGGGAACUUGACAAAGCUCACUUAUUUGACAUUUUCUGAAAACAUGUUGUCCGGGUAUCUUCCUCAAAAUGUUUGUUAUGGUGGAUCACUUCAAAACUUCUCAGCACAUGACAACUAUUUCAUAGGUUCCAUUCCAAAAAGUUUGAGAAACUGCACCAGUUUAAUAAGAGUGAAGUUGCACGGAAACCAUUUAGGAGGAAAUAUAUCAGAAGAUUUAGGCAUUUACCCGAAUUUGAUAUAUAUUGAUUUGAGUUAUAAUAAUUUGUAAGGAGAACUUUCUCAAAAGUGGGGAAAGUGCCAAAGUUUGCAAAGCUUGAAACUCUCCAAUAACAGAAUUUCUGGUGUAAUUCCUCCUCAACUUGGAGGAUCCACCCAGCUACAUUUUCUUGAUCUCUCCUUCAAUCAUAUAGUUGGGCAGAUUCCAAAGGAAUUAGGAAGGCUGACGUCAUUGCUUCUACUUAAUCUGGGUGAUAAUAAACUUUCAGGUAAUAUUCCAUUGGAAAUUGGAAUGCUAUCCAAUCUACAUUAUCUUAUUCUCUCAGCCAACAAUUUAACCAGAUCAAUCUCUAAACAAAUAGAAGGGUGCUCAAUAUUGUUGAACUUAAGUUUAAGCAAAAAUAAACUUAGGGGGGCUAUUCCCUCUGAGAUUGGAUAUUUAGACUCUCUUGAAAUGCUCGAUUUAAGUGAAAAUUCACUUAUCGGAAAAAUAUCACCUCAACAUGGAGAUAUGUGAAGGUUAGAAACAUUGAAUCUCUCCCACAAUGAUCUAUCCGGCUCCAUUCCCUACACUUUCAAUGAAAUGUCUGAAAUGUCAAGCUUGAUCAGUGUUGAUAUAUCAUACAAUCAAUUGGAGGGUCCGCUUCGCAAUAAUAAAGCCUUUUGUGAGGCUCCGUUUGGAGCAUUAAGAAAUAAUUGUGGUUUGAAGGCCUGCCCCACUUUUAUUACCAAGAGCAAGAAAUAUGGAGAGAAAAGGAAAAAUAAAGUUGUGAUUUUCUUUAUUGUUCCUAUCAUAGGCAGAAUGUUUCUAUCAUUGAUUGUAUUUGGGAUUCUUUACCAUGUUCUCAAGCGCCAAGGUAAGAGGAACAAGCUAAAUAGUCUAAGAGAAGCUCAAAAUGGUAAUAUGUUCGAAGUUUGGAGCUAUGAUGGGAAAAUGGUUUAUGAAAGUAUCAUUGAAGCAACGGAGGGAUUUGACUCCAAACAUUGUGUUGGAGUGGGAGGGUGUGGAAGUGUUUAUAAAGCGGUGCUACAAACAGGUCAAGUUGUUGCUGUGAAAAAAUUUCAUUCAAUACAGGAUAAUAGGAUUGCCAAUGCAAAGGCUUUUGAAAAUGAGAUCCAUGCUCUGCUAGAAAUCAGGCAUCACAACGUAGUAAAGCUUUAUGGCUUCUGCUCACAUCCACGACACUCAUUUUUAGUUUAUGAGUUUUUAGAAGGGGGAAGCUUGAAAGAGAUAUUGAGCAAUAAAAAAGAGGUAGUUAAUUUUGAAUGGGUCAAAAGGGUGAAUGUAGUAAAAGGCGUGGUUGAUGCUUUAUCCUACAUGCAUCACGAUUGCUCACCUCGGAUAGUUCAUCGAGACAUAUCAAGCAAGAACAUCAUGUUGGAUUUGGAGUAUAAGGCCCACAUCUCAGAUUUUGGCACAGCUAAGUUUUUAAAUCCUGACUCAUUGAAUCAGACUUCAUUUGCCGGAACAUUUGGAUACACAGCUCCAAAACUUGCAAAUACGAUGGAAAUGAAUGAGAAUUGCGAUGUUUAUAGCUUUGGAGUGGUGACAUUGGAAGUGAUCAUGGGAAAGCAUCCAGGAGAUCUCAUCUCACUUCUCUCAUCAUCAUCGUCGUCAUCAGCAACAACUUCAACUGCCCAUGGUAUACUAUUGAAGGAUGUGUUGGAUCAACGACUUGAACCUCCUAGAAAUCAAGUCGCAAGGAUAGUGGCGUCUGUUGCAAAGCUUGCAUUUGCAUGCCUGGAAACUAAUCCUCAAUCUCGUCCGACCAUGCAGCAAAUUUCUCGGGAGCUAUCUAUCAAAAGAUCACCUCUUUCUGAGAUGUUUGGUGAGAUUACCUUGGGACAAUUGUUGGUGUGAUCAUGCUCAAGUAUAUUCCACACUUUUUUAUUAUUAUUUUUAUUGUACUGUAUUAGGAUGAGUUAUGCAGAUUAGAAUAUUGUUCGUUUGGAUCAAAUUUAUAAUAUAAU